AAAGAGACAUGGAGAUGGGUGUCCAGGAAGAACUGUACAAAACUUAAAAAGUUGAUGAAAACAAGCCAGCGGGAGAGCAAGAAGCUGCUCAAGGAGGGUGUCGUCCGCUUCCUGGGCACGUUCCUCUAUCACCUGAAGCUGCUGGACUUUGGGAU